UCCGGCUUUUCGCCGACAGUCUCCGUAGAGUGCCCAGCUUUACCUGAUGGCAACUACAGACAAGGGUUGCGCUCGUUGCGGGACUUAACCCAACAUCUCACGACACGAGCUGACGACAGCCAUGCAGCACCUCCGCACCCGUCCCGAAGGAACUCCCUGUCUCCAGGGAUGGCAGGUGCGGUUCGAACCCCGGUAAGGUUCUUCGCGUUGCGUCGAAUUAAACCACAUGCUCCACCGCUUGUGCGGGCCCCCGUCAAUUCCUUUGAGUUUCAGCCUUGCGGCCGUAUUCCCCAGGCGGGUCACUUAAUGAGUUUUCGCCGGCACGGAGAACUUUCUCGUCCCCCACACCUAGUGUCCAUCGUUUACAGCCAGGACUAC
rnacentral:misc_RNA from 1 species